rnacentral:rRNA from 1 species
CCUACGGGUGGCAGCAGUGGGGAAUAUUGGACAAUGGGGGCAACCCUGAUCCAGCCAUGCCGCGUGUGUGAAGAAGGCCCUCGGGUUGUAAAGCACUUUCAGUGAGGAAGAACGCCUGGUGGUGAAUACCCAUCAGGAAAGACAUCACUCACAGAAGAAGCACCGGCUAACUCCGUGCCAGCAGCCGCGGUAAUACGGAGGGUGCGAGCGUUAAUCGGAAUUACUGGGCGUAAAGCGCGCGUAGGUGGCUUGAUAAGCCGGUUGUGAAAGCCCCGGGCUCAACCUGGGAACGGCAUCCGGAACUGUCAAGCUAGAGUGCAGGAGAGGAAGGUAGAAUUCCCGGUGUAGCGGUGAAAUGCGCAGAGAUCGGGAGGAAUACCAGUGGCGAAGGCGGCCUUCUGGACUGACACUGACACUGAGGUGCGAAAGCGUGGGUAGCAAACAGGAUUAGAUACCCCAGUAGUC